AUUCUUUUCACAUUUAUGUUGGGAAUGUCUAUUUACAACAAAUGCAUCAACAAACAGUACACGAUAGACCAGCUUGCCACUGUCCACAUGCCCUUGGCUACACAACAUACCACCACCAGUUUCUACACAAUUUUCAAACAUUAAAGAGAGAGAGAGAGCGAGAGUUUGAUACAUUUCAAUGUACACGUGGGAGUACAAAUCAGAAAUACAGCUGCGUACACUUUGUUGCAUCGAUAUUAUCAGGACAGUACGGGCACUUGAAGGUUUUGGAACUGUUCUUUGACAUCUUAUUGAUAGAUUGUUUGCACAGCACAUGACCACAGGGCAUCAACAUUGGGGGAUUAUCAUCAGUCGAUUGCUCCUUAGACACUGGGCACACAAAGAUGGAAUGGAACUGAAAUUCUUUAUCCAGCUCCACAGGCACUGGCAACUGCUUCAUCGACUGCCACUCCUGUUUCUUGCCUGCCAUUACAUUCAUAAACUUCAGAAGAGGUGGUAAACCUUGAAACCCUGCUGCUAUUGUCACACUCAAUGGGCU
rnacentral:misc_RNA from 1 species